UCUAAAAAUUGUAAUGCCUUUCAAUAAUAAUAAUAAUAAUAAUAAUAAUAAUAAUAAUAAUAAUAAUAAUAAUAAUAAGAAUAAUUCAAUUUUAUUUAACAUGCCUAGGAACAACCCUAAGGUCUGAGUGCAGGCACACAGUAAAAAAAAAUGCAACUACAAAUGCAGAAAAAAAAGCCCAAUAUAAAGAACGACAAUUAUGAAAAGGAACAGCUUGUAAUCAGCAAAAGCCACGGUGAAUUCACAAAAGAAAGACGGAGAAAUACACGAACACGUGAGAGUCAAUAAAGAUAAGCUAAUCAAUCCAGCCUUUAGAGGACGUGUCCAGAAAAAGGGAAACCAUAGGUUUGAAUAUUGGCGCACAGGUAAUCUAACAAAAAUUUAAUGUGCAGCCUUAAAAGAAAUGCACAGGCAAAAUGAAGCGAUACAUGCAUAGAAAAUACAUUUGGGCAUAAUACUGGCGCACAACAAAGAACAUGGAAAGCUGCUAAAGCAAAAUCUUGUCUAUGGACAAAGGUAAAGUAAAUGGUCAAGAACAGAUGAUUAGUGAGAAAGCGCAAUGAAAAAAUAAAACUGUACAGCUAAAAGUACAAACGUAAGGGAAAGUGAAUAAAAAAAAGGGGAAACGAUUCAUGUAAAAUACAUGUAAAUGUAAUGUACCAAGAACAUUGAAUGUACCAGGAAACAAAAACAAAUGAAGCACCUGUAACAUUGCGCAUAUCGUCUGGCCAGCUGAAGAUGUACCAAAGCACACGGCGAAAGAGAGCGCUUUGCAGACAAACACAAGCACAUGCCAACAUAAACCUGUGAACAGAACGACGAAAGCGAGUGAUAAAAAAUAUAACGAGCAGCGAAAUAGGUAUUAUGCAGAUUCUGAAUUUUACUGCACAGCAGAAUGUUUACUGUGACAAGCAGGAACGAAAAAAAAAAUGGCCUGUGUCCCCUUGUCGCCUUCUGUACAAUCUGAAGUGCGACAUAAUUAAGUAGCUCAGCGCAGUUGUUUCUGUUAAUGAGCAUAUGCACAAACAAUAAUACGAAUAAGAAAUAAGAAUUAGAAGCGUAUUUGGUUUAUCGCUGUCCGCGAGAUCAGUGCUCGUGCUUGGCCGGUACCACCUGGAUUAUCGUUGUUGCUCUGUUGCAUAAAUAACUCGUCCCACGACAUUUGGUGGAGGUGUGGCAGAACUCGCCAGAACCUCAACAACAUCAACAGAGCUACUGUGGCUGAGGACCGCUUGCUCGUCAAGAGGACCGGAAAAAAAGGCGCUCUUUAACCGUAUGAAUUUUAACAAGGCAAGGUCAAGGUUUCCUGCGGCAAUGUUCAUCAGAGAGGUAAUGACUGCGUUGAUGAUAAUCACGGCUCACAAAAAGCGCAUAAACGGGGCGAGUCAGAAUCCAUUUUCUGUGGAAUGCAACAUGAGGUUGACGAUGAAAGAUAGCAGGCAGACGCGAAGAAUAAGCUGCAAAUUGUUCACUGGAUUAACUUGCGCCCUGUCAACCAAGAUACGCUCUGUCGGCGGCGAUGGACGACAUUCUCUGUCGGCUGCCGUUGAAUCUAAUUACGGCGUUCGCGUUCGACCGCAUUUACUGAGAAGAGCAGUUAUGUUAUGAGCUAGGAAAUGGGUUGAGUGUUUCCCUCCGUCAGUCCGUCCUUCCGCCCGCUUGUUCUAAAGAAAUGUCGACCGAUUCUCAUUAAAUUUUGCACUCAGGUGCGGAAAAAUUAACUAGCGUAUAUAAAGCUGCAUGUCAAGCUUUCUAACCCCUGCAUCACUUCUGCCACCUACUGCAAUUAAGUCAUUUAAACUAGAAAAUGGGCUGAGAGUGACUGUCUCCGGCUGAGCAGAAUUAAUUUUUACGUUGCACCGACUCAUGCGCAGUUGGAAGGAAAGAGGUUGGGCACGGCGAGAGUGAUGCUGCAGAUAAGCACAAAGCUUCGCGUCACAGCUCGUUAUCAGUGAAAUCUGCUGGCACGGGAAAAAUAAAGACGCCUGCAUCUUAACGCAGGACAGAUAGCCUCAGGCGGUCUUUGGCAUCGACUGAAGGAGGCCGGAAAGGUGUUGAAGCCGAAAAUAAAUUGCCCUGGAGCGGGUGCGCACUCUUCGAAAACGCCAGGCGGUAUAAAAGCUCGAAAGGAAUUGGCCCAAUAAAUGAAAAACAGCCCCGAGCAAACAACGUGCAGAACAAGGCAUCGCUGGCAGCAGCACAGAUCCAAGGUUGACCUCAUUGGACGCUUACUUCAAGCGGGUGUUCCACAAACAACUUUGGAACCACCUGCCAUGUGUGCCGUGGUGCUUGUUGUUUCAAAACAGUGUCUGGGGUCAUCGCCUGCAGCAAGUGUGAAAAGUUACUCGUGCAACUGUUUCACAAUGAGGGCUUAAGCGCUUUCCGUGUGUGUGCCUAAUAACGGACGCCAUUGCGGAGAACGAGACUCCCCAGUUAUACCGGACCUUUUACGUGUGCUCUCCAAGGCAAGAGCAGCUGCUGCAAGGCAAUGUGGUAAGUCAAAGGUCUAUUGCCCCUCGAGUGUCCCCGCCCCUUGUGUAUCCCCCAUGCCAUUGCGGAAGCUAAUGGACAGUAGCGUUGGUUAGUGCGUGAGUGUAUACUCCGACAACGCUAUAGACGAUGAUGUGAGCCCUCCUGUGCAGCUCAAGAGAAGGGGGCGCAAAGUCUAGUUAACGGAAGGACGCGGUGUAAGAGUGAGCCGUCUAAGCGUUUCUGAACAAAUCUACGCUAUAUGGCUUGUACCAUAUCAAGGUGACCAGAAUCUGAGGUGAGCAACGUCGGGCACGUACUUCGGAAAUUGUUUUCGCCAAUAAAAAGCCUGAGGCCGUGUGUGGUCUUUGUGAUGGCAGGUAGCUACGGAACCGCGGGAGACUGGCUCCGGCACCGUGCUCUCAAAGUUAUGUAGGAUGCUCUAAGCUUAUUAAGGAGCUAGAGGUCAUGACUGCUCCCCGCAGUUAAGGAAAUUAGAGUCACUGUAGUCUGCCAGUUGUUUUCUUUUUUUUCUUUGCACGCGUCAUCCAAUCUCCCAGACACAUUUGCCGGGACGACGUGAAUUCCAGAACAUGCCAUAAAUAUCAGUGUGCGCGUCAACAGUCAGAUAUGAAGCUGCGAAUUACAGCGCACGCGACAAGAACCGGAAACGACGAUGUCUAUGUCGUUUCCUUUCCUUGUGUCGGUGUGCGCUGUAAUUCACAGUAACACGGAACGCCAACAAGCCCGGUCUGUUGCAAAUAUGUGAAGAGCCGGCGUUUAAGAAAAGGCUGGGGUGUUCGAACUGCCCAAGUCACAUAGUAUUGGGAGAUCAGCUUCAGCGUCAGCAGAAGUGAAAUCGGGGUCAGCAGAAGCGACAGUAGAAAUGAUAGAUCAAAUGAAAGGCGCGUGGGCGUAUUCAUUACGUGACAUAAUACGGGCGUGUUCUCGAAACGUUGCGGAAAAUUUCAGCCAUACAAGUUGCUGGUGGCACCUGCCGCCUUUUAAAUGCAAUUAAAGAAACGACAGAAUGAUACGGAGACGAACGUAUGUACCAAAAUACAUUUAUUCGGAAACCGCGUUGAGUUCAGUGGGUGUGGCGUUUGCGGUGGGGAUGUGCUUGGAUGAUUUGGUUUCCCAGCUCAACAUUUCUGUUUCAGAGAUGAGGGUGAAGUACACAGUGAACACUAACUUGCCACACCAGUAAAACUGUUUUCAGCUGCUGUCACUGUUCUUUAGAGAAGGGACUAAGAACGCCAUAUGUGAAGCGAGGUGUUGUUUCUUGCAUUAAUAUAGGGGAUGGGGUGGUGGGGUGAUAAAACCCUACACUUGCAAUGUUCGUGCGAAAGUCAUUGCCACGUAACUUCCACAGAGUGGCUAGAAAAUACAGAGAACGUGUCUCACUUCAUGUGGAACAGAAUUUCAACUACAUGCACUCAGUCGAACAGAUAAAAGACAAAUCAAACAAGAACCACACUGUGUGCCGCUUAUAUGUACUCCUCCUGUGCGAUGGUUGGCACAAUUUACGAAAUCGCGAAUUAUUUAGGAAAAUAUAAAACGCCGCAAAGUACAGGUGCGUUAAUAAGAAACGCGAACUCCAGACAAUGCUGUCUGAGAGAAGUGCUGCUCUUUCUAACUGACGAUUCUGAAAGGUUAGGCUCUAGUGUGACUAGGCCGUUGGGUUAGAUACUGUUCACGCGCGCAGAUUUCGAAACUUGCUCGUAGAGGGCGUGGCAAUACUCUCGGACCGCACGCCCAAGUGUUCGCAUUUCUUUUCCCCCAAUAGAGUUGAGUAUUCAAAACAUGAAUAAACAUCUAUAAUGUCACUAAUUUCAGUCAACAAUUGAAUAGUAAACUUCUUCGGUGUACACUUGUCCAGUUAUUUAGUCACUGAAAAGUGCUAUGAAAAGUUUCAGUGAAGUUGUUACUUUUCCAAUCGAUAACACAUACAGAACCGCCUUUCUCAGAAGAACACUUUCGGUGAGUUGCUCGAGCACAAACGAGAGAGAGAGAAAAAAAAUACUGAUAUAGUACACACCGACGAAACAGCGAUGUACAACAUGUGCUUCUUGGACAGUGUCACGUACUUUUCAUUUGCUUCGAACACAUAGGGGCACAAUGAAAGCAGUUGUCGAGCUCUUGCCAGGAGGAGAAAAACGGCGGCCUUUCCCUGGGCAGAAAAUGAUUCAGCCUCAGUACUAAAGGGCCGAUGAUCCCGUGCAGAGAAAAGGAAUUUGUUCAGGUAACUCACUCAGUGACCUUUUUUUUUUUGCCAUCAACAACUCCUAAAACAUCUAUGACCAACGACAGACCUUCUAGGGCCGAUGAAUUUAUCUACACUGCGCUAUUUAUAAAACAGUCUUCUAUAUAAAAUCUCUGCCUCUCCAAGACGUCUGCUCCAGUAAGUAGUUUUUUUUUCUCCUUCUGCAACUACAACAGCUGGCAACGACAACAGCUCCACAGAAAAAUACUCUGACAUAUAGCGCUACAUACAACAUAUGCAUAUACAACUUUCUGCAUAUAAUUUACACAAGUCUCUCAAACAAGUUUUUUUUUUUGUUGCUUUCACAUUUUGCUGGCUACCGGUGCUCGCAGCGCAGAACACCGAGAACACUAGCGAAAAAGAAAAGUUCGGUAGCUUGACGUUUUUCUUUUCGCAGCUGUAGCCGCCGAACUUCUGUGGCUGACAGGUCCUUUCACGUAUGCCAGGGCUGCUGCUGAUCCUCGUCAGGCAGGCGCGGUGCGCUAUUGCUGAAAAUUUGAUGUGUUACUUUGCGUAGGUCUGUUUGUUUGGUGCUCGUAACAUCGCUCAAAGAAAGCAAGGUGGAAGAUGUAACCUUACGUAGCACUUUAGACAUCUAAAAAUAAAGCUGUUUUUCACUAAGUAUGCCACUUUCGUGAUUUUCGUGCCACAUAGCCGCAGGAACAUGAAUGCGCGCAGUAAAAACCCAAGGUUUGCCACGAAAAUUCGGAGGAACUUUGCUAUUCUUGUCUGAGUAAUUUAUGAUAUUCUAAGUGGUAGCGACUACUCACUAACACAAAGCACCUUUACGCUAGCGUGUAUAACAAGUGUAUUGAAUCAAUCUUCUAAUGCUUAUGUCUGCACCAGUUUGAAUGUUAGCAGGCGGCUUUCACUCUGAUAAAAAAUAUCUGUACGGUUUUAUUCUACUACAGCUGAUACUGAACUGUAUUAGCUGAUGCUUGUGUUUCGAAAGUUCUAACCUGACGUGCUCCCACCACAGCUGCCGUAUUGGCGAGAUGAAGACGAUAGCGAUAGCAUCAUUGGCGACGCUUAGAAAUACUGUUUCUUUAGGCAUUGUGUGCAGUAACCUUACUAAAGUUCGUGCCUUUAUUUUUCAUUUAUUAGCCAACUAAAAUGCUUUCAUGGGAAUCUGUGCUAGAACAAAUCACUGCGCUUCCUUGAAUCACUACUAUUGUUAAGAAAUAUUUUCUGUCCUUUUCUGUUCAUUUUCUAGGCAUGUUUUUCCACACCUGGGCAAAACAAUUCAGAAAAACAUAGUCACGCUAAAGUUCCUAUGGAGGUUGCAAUUUGUCUGAUCUUAACAUCGAGAAAUCUGAAUGCCAAAAAUUGCCUGCUUCUGUCGCACCAAGCUAAAGAGGACAGUUCUGAGUGCUGUCGGCAAUGGUCAGGCGUGGUGGCCAAGCACUGCUAUAAAAGCACUUGAACUAUGCGGAUAGACGUAGCAGGCACAAGAAAAAUACGCAGUGUGUUUGUUUUGCGUUCAUGUUCUACGGCUACAUCAUUCAUUGCGCAGGCUGUUUUCUUAUACCUUGUGUUACAUUUGAGACUGAAAUACGUGCGUAAUAUUUAAAGAUAAAAAUAUUAAGUAGGCGGUGACUUUUCGCACACUCUGUACACAUAGGCCUGCUUCCACUGUUUCUUGAUUUCUCAAUGUCUCAUUUUGUGCGCCAUACUGUGAAAACGAGCACGAAUUAUUGCAUAUGCGAGACUUACAGACCCACGUUCGUUUACAAUCGGUUCACGUAGAUCUAAGCAUCGUGUAUCACUGCACCGCGCCUGUAUUUGGCGUUAGUUGAAGUCUAACCGUUCGCCGAUGGCGUCGUUUAAAAAAAAUAUCAGUUUACGUCAACAUCACAUUUCUGUUACGUUCAGUGUUCCGCGCUGCGGCACUUAUUUGCGGGAGGGAAAUGUACGGUUGCGUGCAUCAUAACAUGUGUAUAUUUCUUUUUUUUUUCUCUUGAGCUUGUGGCAGUAGUGUAGAAAAAAGAAACCAAAACCACACAUUUGCUCUGUUUCUCCGACCUUGAUAGGCACGUGUAACAUACGACAUGAAAUUGCAGUGCUCGGUGGACGUCAACACAUCAGCCUUGGUAAAGUCUGUUCAAGAUUUUUGGUUAUCUCAAGGACAUCGCAAUCAUUUAUGCAGCACUGGUAAGCAUCACGACAGGCUGCUGCAGUAUCGUCUCUUGCUCCAGAUUAUGCGGUCUAUCGGAGGAGGAUACCUAUGGCAACCGUGUAUCACUUCUUGUUUACUACACAAUGCUUCAGUGAAAGAAGAAUUUGCAUCAGUGCGUUCGAGCCCCACAACGUGUGCUUCAAAUGGUGCCAGCAGAAAGUUUCCCAAUUCACUGCAGCGCAUGUAAACCUAAGAUAGCAGCCAAAAAUAUGAUACGAGUUCUCUAUAGGAGAAGUACUUUUAAGGCAAGAUGGGAUUUUUCACUGAUUUUCUACGAUAAGCGCCUCCUGAAUUUAAGCGUGAUGCAUACUCAGCUUACGCAGAUCCAGUGGGCGCGUAAGAAUGAGAAUGGAACAGAGGGCCUAGAAUUUUCUUAGCUACAGCGAUGUGAAGCCAAAUGGACGGUGAAUUAAGGGUACGCAUAGAGGAACUGAAUUCUUGUCCUUUUUUUAAAACGAAAUGCAGAAAUAACAAGGCAAACAAAUGUGGGCGACAAGACAACUUCUAGCCGGUGGAAGCCUAACACACGCCUUUCGGAUUACGCGCGCGAUGCGUUACCAUCGAACCACCGCGUCGGGCUUGCUCCCGUCCAUGUUAUAAGGUAUUAGUGCAUGCGUACUAGAUCUAGCUUUGGGAGUGUUAGCCUGCACCACUCAUGGCCACAUGCUUCAAACAUUAGUGUUUGAAAACCGCGCUGUCGGACCCGCGACACGAGGGCGCAGGUUCAAUCCGACGGGCACGGAGCGCAAGAACACUCAAGCGCCAUGAUUUUUGGGGUGCCAUUAAGAGGAAGCUUUAGCUCGGGUGCUCCUAUCUAAAUACAUGUAAACGGAGAAUUCGUUUUUCUUGGCAACUACUACACCAAAUUUGACGAGGUUUGUUGUAUUUAAAAGAAAAACUUAAACUCUAGUGACUGUUGCUUUCGAAUUUUCGAGUUAGGUUGUCAAUUUUUUAUUAAAAAUUGGCAAAAAUCGAAAAUUUUCAAAAAACAAACCUAUCAAGUUUACAACUCUGUAACUCAACAACGAAAAAUGAUAAUACAAUUCUGUGAAUUGUAUCUAAUAGUACAUCUAAAGCGGACCAAAUAUGUUACACAUGAAUAUAAAAAAAAAUUGGUAAUAUGGAAAUACAGAUUUUGCAGAACCCUUGUAACCAACGUAACAAAUUCACGUAAGAUGUGAAAUGACAUAUCAAAUUUGUCCGCUUUGAAUGAUCUAAUGGAUGCCGUUUACAGAACCGCGAUAUCAGUUCUUUAUGCAGAGCUACAAAUUUGUAAACUUCGUGCUUCUAUAUUUCUCAAACGGUCAAAUAUUUGAAAAUCGUUUUAAGAAAAUUCAAGCCCUAAAUCGAAAUUUCGCUUCCAACAGUCACUAGAAUAUAACUUUCUCUUUCAAAUGCAACAUAUGUUAUUAAAAUCGGUCCAGGGGUUAUCUCAUAAAAAGGUUUUUGUGUUUUACAUGCAUUUUAAUAGGCCGCGUCGGAGUUGGGCCCGAGCUAAAGCUUCCUCUUAAAAAAAAACCGGGCGGUAGAGGUUUAUCCGGAACCCUACGCUACGGAUUUGCUCAAAGCACAGUUGCAGGUUAGGAAACCCAAGAACUUAAUUCAAUGUUAGUGCUUGCCAACGCUGCUAGUGAAGUUAAGUGCCAAGCUUUCGCGUUCAGCUGGAAAAGAGGUAUCGGGAACAGAAAUACGCCAUCAUGUAAUGCCGCUGAGCCUCGGAACCUGUGUCUUGCCUGCGCCAUAUGGUGGUUGAAAAAUGCACAACUCGAUAGUACGCUGCAUGCUUGUUUUCUGCGGCACAAAACGUCAACCAUGGUUGCUUCCGCAAGCCCUUUCCAUGCUUUUCUUCGUGCAAGUGCACCGAUUUCUCUAUGCGUGAUUUAUGAAUUGAGCCUGUUGUCCUUUCUGUGAAAAAAAAAACUUUCAGCUAAUCAAUAGUUUUGAUCGGUGGUCUGCAAUUAUACCACCUGUUUGCUAGUAAAUCUCGCUGGCCACGUGAAUUGCUGCCAUUGAUUCGGUCUUAUACCCCUCAAGCAUGACAGCUAUUUAAAGUGAGACACCUAAUGCCUGAACCUGCGGCCACUGUCCGUCCUCGACCAUUCUUGAUACUUUUGGAGACAAGAGGUAAAGCGCGAUGAAUUUUCUCAAAGGUUGCAACAAGCUCUAAGGCGGAGCACCAGACCUUCAUCAGUGAGAUGCGGCGGUAACGCGGUGAUAAAAGACGUCACGUACCUCUACAAAAUAAUUUCCAAAGUCAUGUCUCGUCCCUAUAUUAGAUAGUGCUUCGGUUCGUACUAAGAAAAUGGCGUGCAGCUUCAGGCCUUUCUGCAGUAGAAAAUGCUUUGUUCAGUGCAAGCAAAUGACGCUUAUGUUACUUAAUCACUGCUCUGAUUAUGUUCAGGGCCUUGUCACCACCAAACGAUGCUGGAGAUCCUUACCGUUAAGUUGCACACGGUUGCCUUGAGUGUGAUCCUCCGAAUUCUAUGUUUACUUACUAAGUGAAUUUUCGCCAGCUAUCGCUACAGAACUACCCGUUCAACUUUUCGUUUCACCUCUAAAAAGCAACAGCGAGUUUUAUACUAGUAGGAGAGCUCUUUUGUUCAGAUUAGGGGCGUAAACCCAUUUGCCGCAUUUUAGAAGUCAACAAACUGGCGUCAAAGGCAUCUUAAUAAGAUACCCAAUUAUGGAAUGCAGCGGAGCAAAAGGCGAUGAAGUCGCUUGAACGCCGAAUACGAUAUGCUACGGCUCAUGCGCUUAUUUUUGUGAGCAAGCGAGUAACAAGCUGACGUUGUAUGACUUGCCCGGAUACAGUGUUGACUCGGCGUGUGUGUGUACAUCCACCAAGGCACGAAUGAUCCGUGUGAGGCACGUUCGGUGGAGCAAACAACACUAACGAUUCCGCUUCUUCACUAUUCCCAUUCUUUCCGCUAAGACAACUUUUGUUCGUUCUUUCUUUUCCUCUCUUUUUAUCGAACCGGCAUGCAGGAACGAACAGUUAUACAAUGAAUAGGGUAACAUUCAGUGCCUAGAAACAUGUGCACGAAACACAGCAGCCCUGAGGCGUUCACUAGUUUGACACAGUGUCUACAAGUGUGUGCGGAAGAACUUGCAUACGACACAACACUGCAAUUAUCGUAUGAGGCCACACUUGUGCUUAUGUUUACGGGUACUCUUUCCCAUUUCGCUUUGGCGCCGGUGUAAGUGAAUGCCAUUGACGAAACAUGCGCGGUCGUCGUCGCCAGAUACAAAAUACGUGGCCCUGUGCUCUAGAAGUAUAAAUCUCGUAAUACCUUAACAUUUUCUUAGGGGCAAGUAACCGACUAAAGGAGCUUCCCUGAAGCUUCGCGCGUCCUGUAUUAUAUAAGCAAGGAGAAUGACAACAGACUAGUCCCUAAGUAAAACAAGGACUACGCUUUGCUUCUGUUCAGUCUUCAGGAAAACGACAGAUAGGCCCUUUUCCAUGGUCAUCAGGGUGACUGAGACGACCUUAUAAUUUUUAAUGAAGGGUGAUAUAUACAAGUAGCACAAAUUUCUUAUUCUGUUCAACAGUACAAAAAUGCCUUUACUGCGUUUAAUUCUCAGUAUUCUACGCCAGUAACCAACGGGUCUCACAUCUUCAAAAAAUAUUCUUCUGCAAUAUUACAUCAGCUUUAACGUAGCCAGUGGUCUCGGCUCACUAGUGGACGCACCAUUUGAUCUCACUGACGCGUUCUGGCCUUGACUAAGUUGAAAGCGGUCAAAAUAAGUGGUGUAAUAUAAUAUGAAUCUUUUUUUUUUGUUUCUCACAUGGUAUUUGGUCCGUGAAGUGCCCGCGGCGCACUUAGGAUAGGUUACUUUUUUUCUUUUAUAACUACGACCUUAUGUUUACACCGACUCUCACUGCCUGAAUGUAUUCUUAAGGUAAGUUCAGAACUAUGCUGGCAUCUUGAACUUGGAAUGGGGAUAUUAUAAAAUAAUCUAAAUUGGGACCCUUGCACAUGUGCUGGCAUUCUCGUCGGCGUUAAAACCUUAGCUGCACAAAACCUGCACAUGACCGCGAGCCAUGCAAAUAUCGUACGUCAGUGUACCAUUCGGGAACUCUUAUUUCUGUCUCUUGAGAGUGUACUUUGGUAUCCGCUACGCUAUGUGUGCCUAACAACACUUUUGCAUACGUUACUCAGGCAUGCACGUCUAUACACUUAUGAACAACUUGUAUUACACACUCAGUGUAUUCUGAACAAUAUUGUGCUGACGUCAAAUGGUCUAUAUACAUGACGUUUUUACAUGUCACAAUCAAGAAACCUGUCACCAGAAAGUGAGCGCGGACACUCCUUCUGAACUUGUUAUGGUUCUCACUCCUGUCUGCACUGUUGCUGGUACUAUAAAGCAUACGCAGAUCUACCUCCGCUCUUAAAUGCUGGAAUGCGGCUUUCGAACAAAAUAAGAAGCCCAAAGAAACCGCAGAGACGUCAGCUUCUAUGACGUAACCGCCGAGAAAAUACAUUUAGAGCACCAGUGCAGGCUUUAAUGCUUAGCGUAGAUUGCAGAGCGGAUGUCGUAAUACAGUACCAAAACACAAGAAGCGCAUAAAGAUAGACUUCAUCUGGAACAGGCGCGUCGAAGCAACGAAAGAAUACCAUUUAGAGAAGGCUACCAUUCUUAAAAUUUAAACGUGUCUGUCCCAAACCAUGUUUAACAGGAAAUGCAUUUGGUUUGUUGAGGCCAAUUUAGGACGCUAAAUUGAGGCAAACAGGUGAAUUAAAAGCUGAAGCCUGCGUCAGCCAGUUGGUGCUUUUGUGGCACGUGUCCAUAGAUGUGACAAAAUAAGUUUGGGCACGUCAGAUACAUCGCGCGUGCUCUAAGUUGAAGAAUCGGUGAGCGAUACUAGACUGGUCACCUGUAUAUUUAAAUACUGCUGAGUCGACUUUAUGUACUUGAUGUAGCAAGUUCGAAUGGGCAGAAACAUGCCGUUGCCUAUCUCCUGACAGGCGAAAUAGAUAUAAGAAAUCUUUAUUUACUCCUGAAGUAAAGAUGCCAGCUGCUAUUCCUCUAACAUUAUCGGGGUCUUACCUAUGUAGGUCGGGCCUGUACUUCGAUAGCAGUUUAUCCACAUGCCUCGACAAACGAAAUUAGGUUCCAGUACGCAUAUAUAUUUUUUCGCGGUUACUUUGGUGACCAAAUUGCUUCUUACUAUUGUGCAUUCCUGCCCUUCUACCUUUCAAGAAACGUUAGCAUGAUUUAUCGCUCAUGGCACAUGUCGUUUAUUAAAAAAAAAAAAAUAGGCAAAGUUAUGCCCUUUGUUUUCGUAGCGCGAGGGGUUUAAAUCGAAGGAGAACUCAUUUUUCAUGAAUAUCGACAAUAGAUGAAAGAGGGUACAUAGACGACGGUGGUUUCCUUCUUAGCAUCAGAGAGCAAAACAAAACAAAAACAAAACAAAAAAAACAAAGAGAAGGAAAAUUUUCUAAUUUUAUCAUCCUUAUAAGGGCAACAAGAAGCAUGAAUCGUUUCGGACUUUUCGUUUCUCGCGCAGACAAUUUCGCCGGUCGGAAACUCCAACACCAAAUCAGGAUCCGGCACUUCACGACGAACAUUGCACGUGCGCCGCCUCCGAAGCGGUCGAGUACCGGCAGUCUCCGCAGGCUUAGUGCUAUCGCUUUCAGAAGGGGUUUUCAACCGGAACUCGUCCUCGACAGGAACUGGAUACAAAGCGGCAGCCAAUAUUCUUCUGGACAUAUCCCUUGCGAUGCCACACCGAUCCGGCCCAACCGACCGCUCAGCGGCGUACGUGCAUCGUUGUGACAUGAUCAAAGAAUCUCGCGGCACGAGGCACGAGACGUACACGCCGGAGUUCACCGUAUAUAAAAGGCGGCCGAGGAAGUUGACGAUGGCUGCUAGACUAUGCAUGAACGUUUCAACCAAUUAGACCUUGGGCCUAGUGCACGUACAAGAACGCACGAGAAAAUAAAUCCGCUUGAAGAUGGCAGCAAACAAGCGUUAACUGUUACUAGAGCUGGGCAUCCGAAAGCCGCGACGGCCAAGAAAACAACAAAAGAACAGAACACACAGAUUGAAUUAAAAAAUGCCGGAACCGUAUUGUAUAAAACCCUCCCCUAGUAUUUGGAGUUGUUUACCGGAUGAAGAGAAUGAAAAAUGCGCCCACAGAAACAAAUGGCUUUCUCAUUCAAGAGCGGC